rnacentral:ncRNA from 1 species
GAAUAGAGGCGCAGCCAACAGGAGUAGCGCGCGGGAGCCCCUCAACGGGCCGAGAUCGCGCGUCAAAGGGGAGGCUGCCGAAGCGUUGGGUAAGGUUGAGCCGCCCGGCGCUGGGCGGCGGAACAACAUUCCGCCGACUGUCACGGCUACGGCCGUGGAGCGCUAUUCA